GGAGGAUCAUUAUCGUAGGGCUUCGGCCCUGUCGAGAUAGAACCCUUGCCUUUUUGAGUACCUUUCGUUUCCUCGGCAGGCUCGCCUGCCAAUGGGGACCACAAAAAACACUUUGCAGUACCUGUAACAGUCUGAACAAACAAAACAAAAAUUAAAACUUUCAACAACGGAUCUCUUGGUUCUGGCAUCGAUGAAGAACGCAGCGAAAUGCGAUAAGUAGUGUGGAUUGCAGAAUUCAGUGAAUCAUCGAAUCUUUGAACGCACAUUGCGCCCUUUGGUAUUCCUUAGGGCAUGCCUGUUCGAGCGUCAUUUAAACCUUCAAGCUAAGCUUGGUGUUGGGUGACUGUCCGCUUCACUGCGGACUCGCCUCAAAAUUAUUGGCGGCCGGUACAUUGGCUUCGAGCGCAGCAGAAACGCGAACUCGGGCCCGUCGUAUUGGCUCCCAGAAGCUAUCUUCACAAUUUUGACCUCGGAUCAGGUAGGGAUACCCGCUGAACUUAAGCAUAUCAAUAAGCGGAGGA
rnacentral:rRNA from 1 species